ACUGCACAUGCAACUGUUUUCAUGAAGGAUCUCUCCAUACUUUGUUCCGUUCAUUUUUCCCUCGAUCCUGACUAGUCUCCCAGUUCCUGCCGCUGAAAAACAUCCCCACAGCAUGAUGCUGCCACCACCAUGCUUCACCGUAGGUAUGGUAUU